rnacentral:lncRNA from 1 species
GUAAGCUUCCCACAGGCACGUAACUGGUGGGCGUAAGGACUGGGGUUGGAGCUCAGUAGGCUGGCAACUGGCACCGGGGUGCCCCUUGGAGCCCUGCCUUCCUGUCUGUGGCAGGCAUGUGAGUGACUCACCUCAAGUAGCUCUGACAGAGGCAAUUUAUCUCAGGGCGUGGCUAGGUGGCCUCAGAUGGGCAGCUUUUGUUUAUGCCUUAUGGUACUUGACCACUCUGGAGCAGAGGUGAGGGGACCUAGCUCAGAGGCCUCCCGAAGACCAGAACAGGAUGGCAGCUAUCAAGGGGACACAUUUGGCUGUUCUCAGCAGAUGCUGUUAGCCUCUUUCUCCUUGCUGUUUCCAGAAUAGACCAGAUCUGCUUUUGUUUUGUUUUGUUUGACUGGGUGCAGCUGGGAACUGCCCCUUGGACAGCUGCCAGGGAAAUGUGAUCGCUGAGCUGGAGUGACCUGCCCCUGCCCAGCCCCCUAUUGGGUUUCAGUCAAGUUUCUUCCAAGAAAUUCGGACGGACCAACUCCCCUCCAAGUAUUUGACAAUAUUUCCCAAGAACAUCACCAGCAGAUAUUUCUAGGUAGGAAGUCUUUGUUAAUAGGGGGUAUGACCAUGAUCACAAUAUAUCCUGCACAUGUGUGAAAAUGUCAUAAGGAAAUUUACUGUUAUGUACAAUUGAUAUAUACUACUAAAACAAAAAAGCUCUUCAAGAAUAAAUAUAACAUUUUGAAUAGUAAAAACAAACAAAUCAGUAUUGGGCGGGGCAUAGUGGCGCAGGCCUUUUAAUUCCAGCAUUUGGAAGGCAGAAGUAGGUGGAUUUCUCUGAGUUCAAGGCCAGCCUGGUCUACAUAGCAAGUUUUAGGCCAACGAGGACCACAUGAGACUACCUCAAGAAAAAUAAAUAAAAAAUAAACGUGCCCCCCUCCGCCCCGCCCAAGCCACCGGUUUCCAUGUUCACACACUACCAAUGACCUGACCCAAAAGGUAUUUUCUGAAUACCAACCAGGACCUCACUACUGGAUUACCUAAAUAAACAUUUUGAGCCAUCCUCCGUUACCCACGAUGCACUGGGAUGCUACCAGACUCUGGUUUGAAAGAUUGUAUUUCAUCACCCCUCCCCCAUUUGUGUUUGUCCCCCAAGCAUCACUUUCC